GUGGUUUGGGCCGCUUCCCCUGCUUCAGGCCCAGGUGGUCAACUCUCAGUUGAGCAAGUGUCCGGAGCUGGAAAAGGAGGACUGUGGGAAGCUCCGCUGGAAUAGAAGGGAAGACGGUUUGGGAGCUGUGGCCUGACGGGGUGGCAGCAGUGACGCCGAUGCCGGGCGCGGGGCUGUGAGAAGUGUUCUUUCCUUGGGCAUUUGCAUCUGGCUCAUAAACAGGCCUGGGCAUAGGCACUAGACACACAAGAUGAAUGAGAUACGGCCUUCGCUGGGAGGAAUUGACACUGGAGGCAGGGAACACGGAGUCCUGGCAUUGCCACACACCUCCAGGUGGUUUUCGUCAGGACGGAGAGGGUACUCAUGGUGGCCAGCAGCUUCGUUUUUGUGGACAACGGUGGGAGCCAGCACGUGGUGCGGUGUCACCGUGCCACGAGCGGUCAUCAUAGCGUCAUUAGAAACCUCACCGAAGCUCCCAACUUUCCGUGGUUCCCCAUGGCCCUUAGGGAUGAAGCUCACAAGACCCUCCUCCUCUGCCCUCCCGACACGUCUCUCACCCCAGGACCUUUGCACAAGCCUUCCCUGUGCCUGGACACAGCUCUCCUCUUCGUCUAACUCCUACUCGUCCUGCAGGUCUUGGCGUAGAGUCACUUCUCGUGGAGCCUUCCCCUGACAUCGCCACGCAGACACGCUCUCCCUGGUCCUCCCCUUGGCCUGGGAUGAGUGUCCCUCCCAGGGUCACCGGGAGCACCAGGCCCUCACCUGUGCACCUGUCCGUCUCUCUCGCUGACUACGAACGUUCCAGGACAGGAGCUCUGCUCACGUCGUUUCUCCAGCACCCAGCCCAGCCCAGGCCUGACAUACGGUUGGUGUUCAAGAGAGAUUUGUUGAAAGAGCUCAGGGAGGAAUAAAUGAAUGACUGCUCUGCCCCU